AUUGAACGCUGGCGGCAUGCUUUACACAUGCAAGUCGGACGGCAGCGGGGUAGUGCUUGCACUACUGCCGGCGAGUGGCGAACGGGUGAGUAAUAUAUUGGAACGUACCGAGUAAUGGGGGAUAACCAAUCGAAAGAUUGGCUAAUACCGCAUACGCUCUGAGGAGGAAAGCAGGGGACCUUCGGGCCUUGCGUUAUUCGAGCGGCCAAUAUCUGAUUAGCUAGUUGGUGGGGUAAGGGCCUACCAAGGCGACGAUCAGUAGCGGGUCUGAGAGGAUGAUGCGCCACGCUGAGAGUGAGACACGGCCCAGACUCCUACGGGGGGAAGCAGUGGGGAAUUUUGGCCAAUGGGCGCAAGACUGAUCCAGCCAUGCCGAGUGUCUGAAGAAGGCCUUCGGGUUGUAAAGGACUUUUGUUAGGGAAGAAAAAGGAGCGGUUAAUACCCGUUUCUGCUGACGGUACCUAAAGAAUAAGCACCGGCUAACUACGUG
rnacentral:rRNA from 1 species